AUUGAACGCUGGCGGCGUGCCUAACACAUGCAAGUCGCACGCGAAAGGGGGCAACCCCAAGUAGAGUGGCGGACGGGUGAGUAACGCGUAGGAAUCUACCUAGUAGUGGGGGACAACCCGGCGAAAGCCGGGCUAAUACCGCAUACGACCUAAGUGUGAAAGCAGGGGAUAGCAAGACCUUGCGCUAUUAGAUGAGCCUGCGUCCGAUUAGCAAGUUGGUGAGGUAACGACGCACCAAGGCGACGAUCGGUAACUGGUUUGAGAGAACGACCAGUCACAUUGGGACUGAGACACGGCCCAAACUCCUACGGGAAGCAGCAGUGGGGAAUAUUGGACAAUGGGGGCAACCCUGAUCCAGCGACGCCGCGUGUGUGAAGAAGGCCUUCGGGUUGUAAAGCACUUUCGGCAGGGACAAACAAGACGGAGCUAACAUCCCCGUUCCUGAUGGUACCUGAAGAAGAAGCACCGGCUAACUCUGUGCCAGCCGCCGCCGUAA
rnacentral:rRNA from 1 species